UACGUAGGGUGCAAGCGUUGUUCGGAUUCAUUGGGCGUAAAGGGUGCGUAGGUGGCGCGCUAAGUCAGGUGUGAAAUCUCGGGGCUUAACUCCGAAACUGCAUUUGAUACUGGCGUGCUUGAGGACUGGAGAGGAGACUGGAAUUCAUGGUGUAGCAGUGAAAUGCGUAGAGAUCAUGAGGAAGACCAGUGGCGAAGGCGGGUCUCUGGACAGUUCCUGACACUGAGGCACGAAGGCCAGGGGAGCAAACGGG
rnacentral:rRNA from 1 species